rnacentral:rRNA from 1 species
GACGAACGCUGGCGGCGUGCUUAACACAUGCAAGUCGAACGGAAAGACCCUGCUUUUGUGGGGUUCUCGAGUGGCGAACGGGUGAGUAACACGUGAGUAACCUGCCCUUGACUUUGGGAUAACUUCAGGAAACUGGGGCUAAUACCGGAUAGGAGCUCCUGCUGCGUGGUGGGGGUUGGAGAGUUUCGGCGGUUGGGGAUGGACUCGCGGCUUAUCCGCUUGUUGGUGGGGUAGUUGCUUACCAAGGGUUUGACGGGUAGCCGGCCUGAGAGGGUGACCGGCGACAAUGGGACUGCGAUACGGCCCAGAAUCGUACGGGAGGCAGCAGGGGGGAACAUUGCAGAACGGGCGGAAGCCUGAUGCAGAAACGCCGCGUGCGGGAUGACGGCCUUCGGGUUGUAAACCGCUUUCGCCUGUGACGAAGCGUGAGUGACGGUAAUGGGUAAAGAAGCACCGGCUAACUACGUG